AGAUUGAACGCUGGCGGCAGGCCUAACACAUGCAAGUCGAGCGGCAGCACGGGUACUUGUACCUGGUGGCGAGCGGCGGACGGGUGAGUAAUGCCUAGGAAUCUGCCUGGUAGUGGGGGAUAACGCUCGGAAACGGACGCUAAUACCGCAUACGUCCUACGGGAGAAAGCAGGGGACCUUCGGGCCUUGCGCUAUCAGAUGAGCCUAGGUCGGAUUAGCUAGUUGGUGAGGUAAUGGCUCACCAAGGCGACGAUCCGUAACUGGUCUGAGAGGAUGAUCAGUCACACUGGAACUGAGACACGGUCCAGACCUCCGUACGGGAGCAGCGAGGUGGGGGAAUAGUUAGGAC
rnacentral:rRNA from 1 species